rnacentral:rRNA from 1 species
AUGCAGUCGUGCGAGAAGUCGACUUCGGUCGAUGAGUAGAGCGGCGAACGGGUGAGUAACACGUGGAUAACCUGCCUAGGAGCGGGGGAUAACCUGGGGAAACUCGGGCUAAUACCGCAUACGUUCUCAGCGUCAUGGCGCUGAGGGGAAAGCUGGCCAAUUCUUGAAAGCUAGCACUCCUAGAGGGGUCCGCGCUCGAUUAGCUUGUUGGUGGGGUAAUGGCCUACCAAGGCUGCGAUCGAUAGCCGGCCUGAGAGGGCGAUCGGCCACACUGGGACUGAGACACGGCCCAGACUCCUACGGGAGGCAGCAGUGGGGAAUAUUGGACAAUGGGCGCAAGCCUGAUCCAGCAACGCCGCGUGGAGGACGAAGGCCUUCGGGUCGUAAACUCCUGUCAGUUGGGACGAAAAGCCGUCGAUUAAUAGUCGGCGGUCCUGACGGUACCAGCAGAGGAAGCCCCGGCUAACUCCGUGCCAGCAGCCGCGGUAAUACG